rnacentral:tRNA from 1 species
AAGAAAUUAGUUAAUUAAUAACAUUAAUAUGUCAUAUUAAAAUUAUUAUUCCUCAUAAUAUUUCUUA